CAGUCUAACCCCCUGCCAACAUGCAGGAUUUGUGGUGUCUAAACCUUCCAAGACAGAUGGCGAUCCAGCCUUCUUUUGAAAACCUCCAAUGAAGAAACCUCCAUAUCCUC